UUGCUCACACGUGUCGCACCGCUCCUCUCUCUUGUGUGCGUGUCCAGCGUGGGGCGCCAGUGCUCCACAGGCGCCUCUCUGCUUCAGGUGCGACGUGAGAUCCGAGCUGCGGGAGGUGCUGCUGGUGCCCGUGGUGAACGAGGCGUGGGAGCGCGCUCUCGCCACCGUGGGGGUGCAGCGCAUGUCGGCACUGGAGCGAGAGCGUCGCCACCGGGCCGGAACUCUGAGCUGCAGCAGCGUGCGCAGAGGCGUGGCCACGUGGGCCCUCGGUGCCUCUCAGAUGCUCCAGCCAGAAGAGGGCGCUCACACGCAGGCGGUGCUCUACACGGUGCAGUGCUCCAUGCCCGACUGCUUCAUCCUCCCAGAAUGCAUCUCUCUGCCUGUGUGCCGCGCAGCUCGAGUGUCCCUGUGGGGCGAAAGACCUGCCGAGUCUCCGCCAGGGAGUCCCGUGUGCUCGCUGACCCUUCGCUUCCAGCCCAGAACCUGCGGUCGCUACCGCUGCCAGCUGGUCCUGCGGUCGUGGCGCGACGUGCGCGUUCACUGCCUCGAGGUUGUGGUCCAUGGCAACGGUAGCGCCGCCCUGCUGGAGUUCAGUACAACUGCGCUUUCCUCGGUCACGCAGAAGAUCCCACUGGUCAGUGGUCCAGCGCGUGAGCCGCCUUUAAUGCCCCUGCGGUCGAACCCACGCGCACGCGUCUGCUUUCAUGUCCUACCGCACACGUUCACAGCCUGUCGCAGUCCUUUUAUUGUACUUUUCCCACAGGGACUUACAGUAAAUAUGGUAAAAAGAGGGACAUAGUUUGUUGCUGGGACCCAGAGUUGCUGUGCUGACUAAUAAAACAGAAAAAAUAUAUAUAGCUGUUGAAGUG
rnacentral:lncRNA from 1 species